CGGUUCAAGGUUGAACUGGUUCAACCGGCCGAGUGAAUCCGGUUUUUAAAACAUUGAUUAGAACUAACCUCCGUUUGGCAUCAUCAAUCAUAGUUCAGCAAUGAAACUUCAGAAGAAUGAAACUCCCAGAUGUUGACUACACUAACAUCACCAUCAAACUAGAGGGAGGCUAUGUAAUUCACAGUUGCAGAAAAAUAGAACUUCCAUAUUACGGUCAAACCAAUGGAGCUAAUGGAAUGUAUCCGAGCGGAAUGGAAUAAAGCUGACAUUGUAUUGUUUGACCAUUUCACGACGGAAUAGAUAGAGCAAUUUUGUGGUUAUGCAUAAAUAUUUCAGUGUUCCAUAGAAGAUUCACUAUUCUUCGAUCGAACCCAAAAUUGGCCCUACACAACGGGAGUGUCAAAUUGCCUCUUCUCCACCAUCAACAUCACCACAGAACACUUCUACACCCAACGCAGAGAAAUCCAAUUACUAUCUCACAUACACAUACAGGAAGUGGCCUUACAGCUCUAUCUUUUGAUCUUGCACCUCGCUGUUUACCAAUCUCUGGAUGAUCCGGUUCCAUGUAGCAUCGAGCUCUGUAGGCUGCCAAAUGAGCAUAGUAUGCCGGAGGUACUACACAUGAAAUAAAAAUUUAUAUUUGAUAACCGGAACUAAUUUUCUUUGAAACCACCUAAAAAUAGACAAUACAUUGAUGCAUGUUAACCUGUGAAGUUAGUUGCACAAAUGUGCAUAACAAUUGUUGGUCGGUUAGUGUCUGAGACUUACAUUUACCAUACAUAUCAGUCGAUUAUGUUUUAUUUAUGUUUAGACAGUUUAGUAAGAGCGAGAUGAUUUACCUACAGAAACAGACCGCGUACAUCUUGCAUAGCUGCAACCAAAAGAUUAGGAAGGUUACUUCAUUGUUAAGAAUAGAGCAGACAAACUAGACAGACUCAAGAUGGUAAAUAGAGAAACUAUUUACGUGUAGCAUAAGUUGUUAGUUAGAGACUGAAUCUCAUCUGCACUGAAAUUGUUCUCAUCCCAGAGGACAUGAUAGUGUGCUGGUCUACUUGUACCCUACAAAAUUUCCAAUCAUAGCAUAAAUUAGAUAACCGCUACAUGCUACACAUUGCAAAAAUCCCAAUCUUCUAAUGAGGCAAAUUUAAUAUCAUUAUCAUACCUGAAUUCCUGCGUGACUGCAUAAGUAGAAAUCAAAUUCAGUAGGAUGACAGAUCUUUGAAUCCACCACAGUACCUACAUUACAGUCAGAAACAAACCUCUCAACUCUGGGCUGAUUUAUGUAUCUGGUUCAUGAAAUUGUAGAGUAACCAAAAUAUAUUGCAAAUAUAAGGAAACCCUCCCGCUGAGAACUAUGUAGAGACUAACACAUGGAUAUUCUUAAAACAAUGACAUGUCAAAUCAAACACAAAUUCUAGCAUCUAAUAGUAUCAAAAAACCUUUACCAGGUAAGAUAUUUCCACUCGUAUCAGUGCUGUUUCUGUCAUUGUGAUUGUUUGGGAAGAGUCUAGUGUGAUGCCGUUUUUGAACCACCACAAAUGUUACCGGAGGUUGGUAACUUGAUUCCAAAGAUGCACAAGCCUACACAUCAUAAGAAUGUAAAAAUUGUAUGAUAUAAGAGGUUGCGAGUAAGGCAGCCCAGCCACAAUCUUGGGCCUCGCCAUUUUUUAGGCCUAAAAUUUAAUUAUUUUAAUUUAAUUAAUAGUACUUAAAAAUAUUAAUUAUAUUAGGUUUCGUAGUAUAAAUUUUAGUCAUUGAAGUUGCUAAUGAUUGAUUUACUAAAAUAUUAGUCAAUUAUGUGAAUGUUUUUAAUAUUCACUUUUGUGGUGUUUACUAUUAUAAAAGUUAACCAGGACUCUAAUUUUGUUGUUGGUGCUGCUAUUUAAAGAACUUCAUUUUAAAUUUCACUUUAAACCUUCAGAUUUGUUGAGUAUAGUCAAUAUUAGAUAUAACCAUAUUGAGAUUCUUGUCCAACUACCUUACGGAUGGCGUCAAGCUCAUAUAGCAAAACUUGAUAGAACUGUCCUUCACUUACCCCAUCCCUGAAAAUGUUGGUUAUAAUUAUAUUUUAGUAACUCCUCAUUCGUAAUUUCCUCAAAAAUUCAGUAGAAAACACCUGAACAGAUCAUUCCGACCUGUAAAAGAUUAUUCUCAAUGGUUUUUGUCCAGUUGCCUUCUUAAAUGAAAGUAAAAGCUCCCUGAAGAAGCACAAAACAUACACACAGAUUUGGACAUCAUCAAAUAAUAAGUACCAAAAAGCCAUUAAGAUGUUUGUUUCUAGUAAAUAAUGAUUCAAGUGACAUCCAUUUGUUACACAAGUGUAAAACACAAUAACCUAAUAGGAAAUGGAAACAUUGUCAACUGGGGAUAACUCAGGCUUAGGAAGUAAAUAAAGUCGAGGCCUAAGGGGAACCUAGGACAUAAAACAAAGAGAGGAAAUAUAAAAUUUAAGAGGUAGACAUGUACACAGAUUAUGAAGAUUGUUAAAUCCAAUGUUUUAAAAAUCAGACCAGAAAUCAAACGAUGAGACUUGGGAUCAUGGUUCAAUUAGUUCAAAUAUGGUUCAAACGGAUGACAAAUGAAUAAGUUAAAAAGUAAAAACAGAACUGGAUGAACAACGGUUCAAUCCGGUUCAGUCAAACUAAGGUAACACCAGGAUCAAACAAACCGGCGAAUUGGCUGGUUCCUAGUUGAACCGGACAGUUCGGUCCAAUUUUUAGAAUACUGGUUAGAACUUAGAAGAGCUGCUGCUGAAGUACCUGAUCAUACCACCGUAAACCACUCCCCUUUGUGGAUCUUUCCAACACUUGUAAAGAUCUUUGAUGAGUUCUUCACGAUGAGGCUGAGCGCAAACCAACCCUGCAUACUUCGUUACUUCUGGCCAGUCUUGAGAGGCUACAACCUGGAUGAACAUAAUCAGUAUAUAUCGAACAUUGGCCAUAUCUGAGUUGUAUGAAUUUGGAAAUGCUUACUGCAGCAAUGGAUGGGCAAUUAUUGUCUCCGGAUUCUGCAUGAGUUACAUCAGCUCCAAAUAUUAUUGUCGGAAUAUCACUAACCAGUGGAAUCCUCCAACUUAAUGCAUCCAAAAGUACUGUGUUUCUUCCUCCCAUCUAAAAGAAUAAUUCAUUUGUUUAAUAAAUGACAAUGAAAACAAUACUUAGAAAAAUAUGACCCAAAGAAUUGAGUAAAUAUUUAAAUGUAGCAUGUAGCCACCCUGACCUUUUCGAUUAUAAAGUAUAAUAGAUCAUUUAAUAAUAACAAACCUUGACAUUGAGUUUUAGGGCCACAUUUGCCAGGUACUGUCUGUGCGUCUUGAAUACAUAUUUUGCAAGACAGCAUUGAGAAAUCAACCCUAGAUCUGUUUCACAGAUUCUUUUGAGAUCACCUGAAUAAUGAAUUUGUUUUUUUAAUACGAGUUUGAAGUAAUUUUCUUCCCGGGAAAAUUUGAAAUGAAAUAUGCAUAACAAGAAAAAUGCUAAGCAGUAAGCACCUUUUUUCUGGUCAACAUGUUAGAAAAGUGAUAGAAGAAAUAUUAAGCUACCAUAACCUCUUAUAAUUUCUAUAUCCACAUAAAAGUUUUUUCCUAUUAAGAUUAAGAAAUGAUGCAAACAGAGUGGGAUCCCAGAAUCAUACCAUACAAAGAGCCAUUAAUGUCUGGAAGAAUGGCAAUCAACAACUCUAGCUCUUUACCAUCAAGUUUGUCUAGAGCUGCAGUAUGUACAUACUUCAAAGCCUUCUUGACCUGGUCUGGUCUUGCUGAAUAUACAGGUAUCACAGGUUCCAGACUAAAUUCCUGAUAGAAGUAAGCACUUAGUUUUAUUUUAUAACCAAACACGGCCUUAGUGUCCAAUGUCCAUGAUGACAAACAAUAGGAGAGGAAUGAUUAUAAUUGGAAAUUUUUUACAUUCAAACAAUUUGUUUCUGGAGCCAAAACUGUGCUAACAAGGGCAUAACGAAAGUUUGAAUUUUUACCAUGCCUAAGAUUCGACACUUCUGAACUAACUGUUGGCAAAAUCCGCGAGCUGUACUUUCUUGUACACUUCGUGAGAAAUUGAUGCAUGCCCAAUACCUUACAGUACACCCAUUUAUAACUUUCUGCAUUGAAAUUAGUAGGAACAAGUUACCUUCUUUUUUCUUCAUAUAGAAGUGUUUUUUUCUCUCUUUUAUAAUUAAAAUAUUUACAGGAUAAUAUGUUCAUGCCUGAGCUGACCUUGUUCAUCAUAUUCCAUUGUCCUACUUGUGGCAAGUGUUCUUUCUCUCUUCCAGUGUCAUUAUAUUUCAACUAUUGGAAAAAAGAACCAAAGUGUACUUGCAUUAUAAUCAUAAAAGCUAACAAGAUAGGUAAAGUAAACAAUUAAAUAAUAAAAGGAUUACCCAUGGAGGUGGAAGAACCCGGGCCUCCACUGAUGCAAGCGUGUUGUCUAUGCUGAUGCCAAACUCCUUUGCAAAGGGAUUGUUCUCAUAAUUGUUUUGUGUAAUUGUCUACAAUUGAAUAGGGAAAGUUCUAGAUUAGUAAAGCAAAUGAAUUACAACUUUUAUUAUGUUUGAAGAGGAAGAGCAUGGAGUACUAUAACACAUGAAAGUACCUAAUAUCAGAUAUUUAAAGUUAUGAAAUAUACAAAUACUAACCUGUUUAAAUAUAUGUCUAAACUUAGUGAGCCUGCCUAAUGGGCUAAAUACAAGUUACUACUAGUAAAGUGUUAUUGAAUAUCAAUGGCGGUUUUUGUGCUGGCCACAUUGGUAUAUAUUGGUAGCUAUUGCUUGUUUUUCCAUUAUAUCUGUAAUGACAGCGUCAAAAGCAACCAAUAUGGCGGGAUUUUGGCUGUCCGCCAUCGCUAACACUAACUAGUAAUUAUAAAAAUAAUUAUUUAAAGCUAACAUUGACCAGAAUUAUAGAAAUAAAUGAUUUAAAGCCAGUCCUUUCAAACUGAUGAAUGAAUAACUAUCAAUCCUAACUUGAAAACAAUUCUUUUAAAUAUAUUGUUGUUCAAAGUUCUGCAAAGCUACCUUGAGAAGAGACAUGGGGUGCAUAUUUUUCUUUGAUGAAGUGUUUGUCAAUUUCAGUAUGUUUGGUUCUAUACUGCACUCGAUUAUGAGCUACGCUAAUAGAAAAUUUAUAAUCUCGAUGAUGUUUCAUAGUCUCAUCCUACUUUAUUCCCAAGUCUGCUAAGAUGAUGAUCAUCGAUAGUAGUUCAUCUAUCUCAUGUUAUUGUUUUGAACUAUGCUUCAGCACUAGAUCUGGAUACCCCAUUUUAUUUUUUAUUCUUCCAAGUCAUAAGAUACCCCAUUUUAUUUUUAUUCUUCCAAGUCAUAAGAUACCCACCUAAAAAUGCAAUAUCUUGUAGUUGAUUUUAUAUCAACAAUUGACCCUGCAUAGUUAGCAUCAAUAUAUGCUUCAAGACCCACAUUUCCUUAUGGUUUGAACAAAAUUCCUUUACAUAGGGUUCCUUUUAAAUAUUGCACAAUUAGAAUUGAAAUUUGUAAAUGAGUCUCCUUUAGUUGGUGCAUUAAUUGGCUGACUAAGCUUAUUGCAAAGACCAUUCCGGUCUAGUAUGUGAUAGAUAUAUAAGUUUGUUGACUACCCUUAAAUACAUUUCCUUAUCGACUGCAGUAUCUUCUUUUGCGUUCUCCAAUUUUACAUUUAGAUCAAUUGGUUUACUUGCAGUAGUUGGAUUUUUGUUUCUUAUGAUUUAUUCGGCUGGGAUUUGGUUCCCUAUAUAAUGUUGGGCUAGAUUCUGGUUCACGUGCACGAGAAAAAUCAUAAAUUAAAUCCCUAGAGUUUGAAAGGGUAAGGGAAGGUACUUCAUGUGAUGUCGAAUUGAACUAUUGGAUAUGAGUAGAUUAAAAAAUGAUCUUUUUCCUUUAUAUACCAGAUUCUUAUGAUAUCUUACAUCUAUUAUAACAUUUCCAUUUUUCUCAAUCAAUUUGAUGUAAUGGUUGGCUUUUACAGACAUGUUCCUCUUAAUUCUCACUCCAAACUAAUUUUUUUUACCAUUGAGAAGAGUUGUAGAAACACAUAGGUAACUUUAGACAGAAAGACCUUCUCCCUAUUGGUCUUAAUUGAUUUAGAAAAAAGAUGUUGUUCAGUAUACUUGGAGGAAGUAUCUGCUUAUCAAAAUAAUAAAGGCAUUCUUUUCUCUAGCAUUCCCAUUGUCCUCCUCAAACACUUGUAUUGAAAAACUCAAACAUCGUAUAAAAAAAUAUUAUAUGAUAAGUUUUUUGUGAGCUUUUGUAUAGAAAUUAGGCUAGUAGACAAUUUGAGAAUAAGAAAGACAAUUUGUAAAUUAUAAAUAAACUUAUUUGGACAUCUCCUUGACCUGCUGGAAUUAUAAGGGUACCAUCCACUGUGAAUAUUUUAUUGUUUCUAGGAGUUAUAAUAACUAAUUUCAAUUGACCUGCAGGUUUUAAGCAAUUGCAAUUUAACACUACGUAGCAGGGUGCUAUAAUAACUAAUUUCAUACUUUUUGUUAUCAUUUUAUAAGUGAGUAGCAUCCGCUAACUUCAACGAUGAUUAAUUUUGAGUACAACGCUAUUUAGACAAAUGGAAUGUUGAUCUUAUAUGACUAUUUCAUGUAUAGUUUUCAAUUAACUCUGAAAAGUAAAAUAAAACAGAAGGGAGAAGAUGGAUGGUGAUGAUAUCAACAAUCCAUGAUAAUGACCUGUAAAAUGUCUGUUUCUUGUUCACGGGGUCUCUGGCAUGAGAACUUAAGCAAAGAAGUUAUUUGCUUUUCGUUCAGUCCUUUUGUAUAUCUCUGGCCCCUAACUAUCUUGCAUACCUGAGGCAACAUUUACAUGAAUUCUCCCUGCACGAAGAACCAUAAUAAAACCAGAACAAUUAUUUGAUUAAAUUCAAAAGCAUAGCUUACCUCCAUGGGCAUAUAGUUCACCUUACUUGGACUUCCUACUUGAAGGCAAGGGGAAAACUGUUCAUGCAGGGAAGAAACAAUCAUUUCUUAAGAGAUGAAUCUUAAAAAUAUAACACAAGUUCAGUUUGCUUGAUGUGAAGAAGUCAUACAUAAGCUCUCUUGUUGGUUGUGAAGUCAAUCCUGAUAUUCUGUACUUCCUUCUAAAAUUUCCUCUAUGUGUGAUGUCUACUUUUACUCCUCUUAAGGCCUUUUUAAUCUGCUUGCAAGUGACAAAACAAAGAUUUCAUCGUUAGAUAUUACUUAAAUGUUUCUCUGAAUUUAGUUUGAAAGUUGUAUAUUCUCAUGCCAAUAAAAAACACUUUUUUUUUUUUGUUUUAUUCAUUUUCUGCAUAUAUUACUGUAACCGAGAACAUGUUUGGUAUAACAAUGAGUAUGUUGAAACUAUAGUGAGACCAUGAUUUUGUUGAAAUUCCAAAGUGUAGCUUUUGCAAAAUUGUGGCGGUUUUCUGUAAUUCUGUCAAACUCAGCAGAAAUUCAAAUAUAUACUUGCAUAUGUUUGGUAUGGCAGCAUGCUAGGCAAAAUCACAGUCAAAACUCAACGAUUUUAUUUAAAAUCUUCAAAGACUAUCUAUAGUCUAGUAACUCAUAUCACACUUUAGAUGUUAAGUCAUGAGCGUGAGAGUAGUUAAAAAAAUCGUAGAGUCACAUGCUAUCAAAUUAUUCUUCUGAUAACACUAAUAGUUGAAUUAAAUUUAAUCCAAAUUUUAAAGAAAUUUCGAAGUUGAAUCUUUUGAGCAUAAAGAAACACUUUUCUAUAAGCAAAUGAGAAGUAUUAGUAAGGGAUUAUUUUAUGAAGCCAUUGUUUAAUUGGCCUUGGCUUUGGAUAGUAUAGGGCAUGCUAUGAUCAGCUAUAUAACAUAACUAGUGACUUUUUUUGGAAGUAAUGAUUGCUUGGUUGACA